ACAAUGGAGAGUUUGAUCCUGGCUCAGGAUGAACGCUAGCGGCAGGCCUAAUACAUGCAAGUCGAACGGGAUUGCGGUGUAGCUUGCUACACUGCAUGAGAGUGGCGCACGGGUGCGUAACGCGUGAGCAACCUACCCAUAUCAGGGGGAUAGCCCGGAGAAAUCCGGAUUAACACCGCAUGGGACAGUAUUACCGCAUGGUACAGCUGUUAAAUAUUUAUAGGAUAUGGAUGGGCUCGCGUGACAUUAGCUAGUUGGUGGGGUAACGGCCCACCAAGGCGACGAUGUCUAGGGGCUCUGAGAGGAGAAUCCCCCACACUGGUACUGAGACACGGACCAGACUCCUACGGGAGGCAGCAGUAAGGAAUAUUGGUCAAUGGGCGGAAGCCUGAACCAGCCAUGCCGCGUGCAGGAUGACUGCCCUAUGGGUUGUAAACUGCUUUUGUCCAGGAAUAAACCUCUUUACGAGUAGAGAGCUGAAUGUACUGGAAGAAUAAGGAUCGGCUAACUCCGUGCCAGCAGCCGCGGUAAUACGGAGGAUCCGAGCGUUAUCCGGAUUUAUUGGGUUUAAAGGGUGCGUAGGCGGCACUUUAAGUCAGGAGUGAAAGACGGCAGCUCAACUGUCGCAGUGCUCUUGAUACUGAAGUGCUUGAAUGCCGUUGAAGAUGGCGGAAUGAGACAAGUAGCGGUGAAAUGCAUAGAUAUGUCUCAGAACUCCGAUUGCGAAGGCAGCUAUCUAAGCGGUGAUUGACGCUGAUGGACGAAAGCGUGGGGAUCGAACAGGAUUAGAUACCCUGGUAGUCCACGCCCUAAACGAUGAUGACUCGAUGUUAGCGAUAUACUGUUGUUAGCGUCUUAGCGAAAGCGUUAAGUUAUCCACCUGGGGAGUACGCCCGCAAGGGUGAAACUCAAAGGAAUUGACGGGGGCCCGCACAAGCGGAGGAGCAUGUGGUUUAAUUCGAUGAUACGCGAGGAACCUUACCCGGGCUUGAAAGUUAGUGACGGAUGCAGAGACGCAUCCUUCCUUCGGGACACGAAACUAGGUGCUGCAUGGCUGUCGUCAGCUCGUGCCGUGAGGUGUUGGGUUAAGUCCCGCAACGAGCGCAACCCCUAUGUCCAGUUGCCAGCAUGUCAUGAUGGGGACUCUGGACAGACUGCCUGUGCAAACAGUGAGGAAGGCGGGGACGACGUCAAGUCAUCAUGGCCCUUACGUCCGGGGCUACACACGUGCU
rfam:Triticum urartu cultivar G1812 contig646224, whole genome shotgun sequence.